GCGGCAGCUGCGGCUGCGCCUGCGCGAGCCGAGCGCGCUCUGCGGCGCGGUCCGCGGUGGAGGCGGCGCGAACAGCCAGGGGGCGGCGGAUGGCUCUGCGGGGCCUGGCAGGCUCGGGGCCCGGCUCCCGCGGGCCGUCGGACGAGGCGGUGGCGGCGGACGAGGAACGAGAGGCGCGGGCCGUGGUGGCGGCGGGAGCCGCGCCGGAGGACGAUGAAGAGGACGAGGGCCGCAGCCGGGGCCUGCUGCGCUGGGACGGCUUCUCAGCCUGGCUGCACUGCGUGUGUGUGGUGGGCUUCGACCUGGAGCUGGGCCAAGCCGUGGAGGUAAUUUAUCCUCAACAUUCCAAACUUACUGAUAAGGAAAAAACCAAUAUUUGCUAUUUGUCUUUUCCAGAUUCAAAUUCAGGUUGUCUUGGAGAUACCCAGUUUUGUUUUAGAUUUCGACAGUCUUCUGGGAGGAGGGUGUCACUGCAUUGUCUCCUGGAUCAAUUUGAGAAAGAUUUACCAGUUUACUUAAAGAAGGAUCCUGCCUAUUUUUAUGGAUAUGUGUAUUUUCGACAAGUUCGAGAUAAAACUCUAAAAAGAGGCUACUUUCAGAAGUCCUUGGUUUUGAUCAGCAAACUACCUUAUAUUCAUUUUUUUCACACUGUGCUCAAACAGAUAGCACCAGAGUAUUUUGAAAAGAAUGAACCUUAUUUGGAAGCAGCUUGUAAUGAUGUUGAUCGAUGGCCUGCCCCAGUGCCAGGGAAAACAUUACACCUGCCUAUUAUGGGAGUAGUAAUGAAGGUACGGAUUCCCACAUGUCAUGACAAGCCUGGGACAACUCAAAUAGCGCAGUUAACUCAGCAGGGAGACACACAUAUAUCUGUUAUUUUACCUACUGUUCAUGAGGUGGAUCUUUUCAGGUGUUUCUGCCCGGUUUUCCUUCAUAGUCAGAUGCUUUGGGAGCUGGUACUGUUGGGUGAGCCCCUUGUGGUCAUGGCACCAUCACCAUCAGAGUCGUCAGAGACUGUGUUGGCACUUGUUAACUGUAUUUCUCCAUUAAAGUACUUCAGUGAUUUCCGACCUUAUUUCACUAUUCAUGAUAGUGAAUUCAAAGAAUAUACCACCCGUACUCAAGCCCCGCCCUCAGUCAUAUUAGGAGUAACCAACCCGUUUUUUGCAAAAACACUCCAGCACUGGCCACACAUUAUUCGAAUAGGAGAUCUUAAACCUGCAGGUGAAAUUCCUAAGCAGGUUAAAGUGAAAAAAUUGAAGAACCUAAAGACUCUGGAUUCUAAACCUGGAGUUUAUACUUCUUAUAAGCCAUAUCUAAAUAGAGAUGAAGAAAUCAUAAAACAAUUACAGAAGGGUGUACAACAGAAGCGUCCUUCUGAGGCUCAAAGCGUUAUUCUCCGACGCUAUUUUUUGGAACUGACACAAAGCUUCAUCAUUCCUUUAGAAAGAUAUGUGGCAAGCUUGAUGCCUUUGCAGAAAAGCAUUUCUCCAUGGAAGAGUCCACCGCAAUUAAGACAGUUCCUUCCAGAAGAAUUUAUGAAAACACUUGAGAAAACAGGACCUCAGCUGACCUCUAGAAUAAAAGGCGAUUGGAUUGGACUUUACCGGCAUUUUCUAAAAUCUCCAAAUUUUGAUGGUUGGUUCAAGACCCGGAGGAAGGAAAUGACCCAGAAACUGGAGGCACUCCAUCUGGAAGCUCUUUGUGAAGAGGACUUACUUCUCUGGACCCAGAAACACACAGAAGUAGAAACAGUAGACCUUGUAUUGAAGCUAAAAAAUAAGCUGUUGCAGGCUGAUCGAGAGCAUUUACCUGUGAAACCUGACACUAUGGAAAAGUUACGGACACACAUAGAUGCAAUUAUCUUAGCAUUGCCAGAGGACCUACAAGGCAUACUGCUCAAAACGGGCAUGACAUGAUAUUUGCCAGGAUUUUCCAGCCGAAAGGAUUGUACACCGUGAAGCAUACUGACAUUUCAACCAGACACACAAGAUCUCUCUCGGAGUGGGAAAUAACCGUGAAUGCUAGCUACAGGGUUGAAAGACUAUACUGUAUAAACAGACUUUUUUAGUGCAUUAUUUUUAAAAAAUGGAUAUCUGUGGUGGUUCCACUUUAAUACUGAAACACCGAAAGGCAUUUCUAUAUUUUUAAUCAUGUUCUAAAGUGCUCUUAUGAGAGACCUGUGGGGCCAUCAGUUUAAGUGAUUCCAAGCUGCAGUGCUGGCAUUGCAGAUAUUUUUUUAAAUUGGUGCUUCUUUGCCCAAUCAUGUUAAAACUCAGGGGGAUGUAAAAAUAGCAUUCACACUGGCUGUCUUCUUAAGAAGAAGGAAAAGACUGAACUGUCAGACUGUAGUUAGAAGUGAUUAAUGCUUUUGUAGUGCCUUCCGUUGUCCUACAUGUUUCACAAAGCCCAGCUGCUAGUCUUGAAGCUUUUUCUUAACUUGAUUAAGAUAUGUAGUUUUUUUAUAAGGCAUUCUUUUGAGUAAUCAUUGCUUAAAAAUGUUUUUUGCCUCCCAUUGUGUUUAUUAUUAGUGGCGUUGGUGUUUUUUUUCAAUUGUCAUACAGGUUUCAUUUCAUUAUUUUCUAUUCCAUUUUCAAAUUUAAUCUUUGUUUCACCAAAGGGAAGAAGACAUCUAGUAUUAAUUAUGGAAGAGUUUAUUUCCUCUUACCCUUUACUAAUUGGGCCUAAGUUAAUUAGCUUGGCUGUUUUUGAAAGACAUUCUGAUUAUAAACCUCAUAAUCAGCUGUUUUUUUAAACUGAACUCUUAUUUCAAAGCAUUUUUAAACCUUUUAUGUGAUAGUCAUUUGAGUAAUUAUAAAAUUGAUUUCUUGCAUUAUUUGUUUAGUAGGGUUUUUUCCCCCCAAAAUUAAUAUUUCUCAGAGUACUUUCCCUACUGUUGUUCAACAUGGGAACUUUUGCCUGAAUCACUGUUGUAGCUAUUUUGUUGUUGUUGUUUUUGUUUGUUUCUGUUUUGUUUUGUUUACACUAGACUACCUUGCCAAAAAUAGAAGACUGUGGUUUGGUAGAAUAAGGUUCUUUCCUUGGUGUUUGAAUAGGAGUGUCCUGAAGAAGCCACUGUUUAAAAUAGGCACACAUGACAUAGCAUAGCACAUACGUAAAUUGCUGUGUCUUGAAUUACCCUUUCCGUAUUCAAAUUUAGUUGUAGGUUUUAAAGAAAUGGCUUCAGGAGCUCUCUCUUAUUCUCUGUUAAUAUAACUCUUAAGGGCACUCCCAACCUAAGAAAGGGUCCUUGGUGUUUGUAACUGUGGUCUUCUGUCGAAAUGUGCCCUUUUCUCAUGGAGACAAGUCUCUUGAAGCAUACCUCAAAGUCAUGGAGAGAAUAUGGCAUUUGAAAGAAAUCACUUGCCUUGGAUCACAUGAGUUAUUUUGUGACACAACAGUUGUCCUCAUGGAAAAGGGGCAACUACUUUUAUAUGCUAAAGUCUUUCAUAUCUUCCUGGGAAACCUUAUUUAGGUAUAAAUGGUCAUCUUAUUAUUUUUCAAAAAAGUGUAUUUUAAUAAUCUUACAAUUUGUAUGUAGCUUGCGACCAGAGUUUGAAAGCUGUUAAGUGUCAUAUCAAGGAUCUUUUAAAUUAUACCACUACAGGAUGUAUCAUUUCAAGUUUAUUUUGCCCAGCUAAGGAGUAGCAAAGGAUGCCAAUUAGCAUAAUAAUGGUAUCUUCAUAUUUACUGUACUUAACAAAAAACCUAACACAUGUUGAAAACCAUAUCAUACUUACCUAGUUUAUCUAUUAAUUUCAAAUUAUGUACUUGUAAAAAUAACUUAAAAUCGCAUUGAGAAAGACUGAUUGGUAACGUAAUUUUUUGUGUGAUUUUUCAGAGUUGUCUUUUUUUUUUUUUUUGAGGAGAUAUUGUUAAAAAACCUGCCAUUUAAUGUUUAUCUUCACCAGCAUCAGAAGGAAUCACUGCUUUCAGGGUGUUAUGUAAUGCCUAGUGCCUUCUGUUUUCAGUGAAAGGGGUUUUGAGAAGGCAUUUAUGGUCAUUACUGAAAACCUAAUUAAAGGCCUUGGAUUUUAAAGCCUUUGGAUAUCUUGUAUUGUUUCUGAGUAAUACUGGAAUGCUUGAAAAAAGGCAGAGUAAAUGAAAUUUUUGCAUUAUGGGAUUCCUUUAGUUUCUAACUUAAUUUUUUAAUUCAAAUGGAAACCUUCUUCUGUUUAUUUUAUUAUGAACUGGUGAAUAGUCCAUUUUAUUAGCAGACAGAUCACAGAAUUAAGUGAUUUCAUAUCCUUCCUGCUGGUGUACUGAUUUUUGUGAAAUGUUCUGAUGAAAAUUUUUAGCUUAAUAAUCUAAGUAUUGUUAGAUUCUCCAUUUGCUACCUUUUCUUUUUUAACCUUAAAUCUCAAAUUACUUUUAUUUCUUCCUCUUCUUUUUUGAAAGUGGCUAGUAUAUAAUACCAUUCUUUGGAUUUUAAUUUAUUUUUUAUUAAUAAAAUGGAUGUUACUCCUUUUUGAAAUUACUGGGUAAUAUCCUUCAAAGUAUACUAUAAACUAUAUUGAUACAUUUAAAAGAGAUGCCAUUAAAAUUUGUCCUUUUGUUUUCACUUGCUUAUAACUUUACUCACUUGUUUUUAUACACCUGGAUUUUACUUUCUUCUUUUAGCAUAACUUGGGGGAAAAAUUUUAACUACUAACUUUCUGAUAUUAGUCCUUUAAAAACACAGUUGAAGAAGACAAAAAGCUUCUCUAGUUAUCGAUAAAUGGAUAAAUGUCAUUUAAAUGACAAAAUAUGUUAACUCAUAAUAAUGACUAAAUUGUCACUAAUAAUUUGAUAUCACUUCAUAUAUUGAAGAUACAGUACUUAUAUGCUGUCUACAGCUUGGUUGAAUUAUGUUAUUUAUUAUUAUAGCAUUAGUAAUUAGUAUUUGUUAAUACAGCUCUGAGAAUUUUUUUCAAUUAUACUUCCUUGUUUGUUGGAAAUAGAUAAAGCAUUUGAUACAAGAUACAGAAUCAUGGUUCCUAAAAUUUAUCCUACAUCUAACCAGUUUUUAGAAAAGCAAGUUUAAGGUUGAUAGUUAGUUGAUAAAAUAGGUUUAUGUCAUUUAUUUUGCAUUUAUAAAACUGCAUAUCUCAUGAUGCACAAAUGUUUAGAAAAAAAAGAUGGCAGUAGAAUUCUGCUGUAUCCUAGUCUCUAGUGUUAUUUCUGGACUUUUGAACACCAGCCUUUCUCUGUUACCCAUUACUUGAAUACCACGCUAUGCCUUUCUUCAAAUUAAGAGUAUUGUUGUCUAAUUAUCAUAGAUCUCAUUCCAUUUUACUAGUGUUACCACUAGGCUUGGGUUCUUCUGUUUAAUUAAUUUUUGUUGAAGUAUAGUUGAUAUACAGUGUUGUGUUAGUUUCUGCUGUACAGCAAAGUGACUCAGUUAUAUACAUAUCCACUCUUUUUUAGAUUAUUUUCCUUUAUAGGUCUUUACAAAAUAUUGAAUAGAGUUCCCUGUGCUAUAUACAGUAGGUUCUUAUUAGUUGUCUAUUUUAUAUAUAGUAGUGUGUGUAUGUCAAUCCCAAUCCCCCAUUUUAUCCCUCCCCCUACUUUCCCCUGUGGUAACCAUGUUUGUUUUCUACAUCUGUGACUCUAUUUCUGUUUUGUAAAUAAGUUCAUUUGUACCAUUUUUUUAGAUUCCUCAAAUAAGCGAUGUCAUGUGAUAUUUGUCUUUCUCUGACUUCACUCAGUAUGACAAUCUCUAGAUCCAUCCAUGUUACUGCAAAUGGCAUUUCAUUCUUGUUUAUGGCUGAGUAAUAUUCCAGUAAUCUCCCAAAGAAGGUCAGUGCCAGAAUAAAGGAAAAAGAAGAAAACGUUUUGUGUUUAGCUGAAAUGGGAGUCUUGAUCUGGCGUCUUGGAUGGAAGCAGUCUACAUCAAUGUCCACUACUUCUCAUCCUUGUCAACCUGAUUCAACUUGAUUUGGUGGUCUCCAGUGUUUGUACAGGACCAGAUGUCAGGUGGAGUCUCUUUUAGCUAUGAUAUAUGUAUACGACACUCACUGCCUUCUAGUUCUGCAGCAGUCUGCAUGGCCAGAAGCACUUGGUAAGUUUCCUUCCAAUGGGGCUUGAGGGCAGCUUUCUUCUGGUGAUGCCUCCAGAAUAUCCAGUCACCAGGCUCCAGACUGUGAGCAAUGAGAUUUCCCUAAAUUGGAAUCUGGGAAAGCUUCUUUAACCUGUUGGUAAUAGGCUCAAGAAUAAGAUAUUAAAGACUUACCAUAGUUGAUCAUACUAGCAUGACACUACAAAGGAUCAGCAGAAGGUUGUAUACCAAUAGACAUUGGUCUGCCCAUGAUUAUCUCAUGUGGAGUGAGUUUAUGUUUCCCAAAGGUGGAAUUAAGAACAGUUAGCAAGACCACAGGCAAUACCUUAGGCCGGGGGAGUCCAGUCUAUAGGUGUGACAGUUAACAGGACUAGAAUCUAAUAUCUGCAAAGGUAAAAACGUAAUUUUUCUCUCUAUAAUUAACCCCAUUUUCUACUAUAGAUAAUCACAGUAAAACUAAAUUCGUUUGUAUUAAACUUGGCCUUAUUAUUUAUAUACAUGCAGCAAGAACAGUAAUUGACCACAUAAGUAUUUUUGUAAGAUUGCUUUGCUAGAACCUUAUAAGCAAAAUAACAGCUUCAUUUUUCUAACCAGUUCCUUGAAGCUGUCUGGUUAUAUGAGGCUGUGUGUGUUUCUCUCAAACAUGACAUUCCAGUGAAAACCUUGGUAAUUGUGUCCUUUUACAAGGAGAACAGAUUUUCUUUUUUCUUUCUUUCUUUCUUUCUUUCUCUUUCUUUCUUUCUUUCUUUCUUUCUUUCUUUCUUUCUUUCUUUCUUUCUUUCUUUCUUCCUUCCUUCCUUCCUUCCUUCCUUCCUUCCUUCCUUCCUUCCUUUUUCUUUUUUAAUUUCCUUUGUUCUUCAGUAAAACAAAAGCUGUUAUUUCCGCCCCCUUUUCCAUAGAACUCCAUGAAUUCUAACGUGGAGCCAUAAAAGCAGUGGAUUUUGAAAAAUGUACUUCAUAACAUUGCCCAUGUUGACAGAAUACAACCCAGAAGGAUUCUAUUGUCCUAUCACAGGUCUCCCUUGUUAAUGCAAAGUCUGUUAUCCAUAUCCCAGUUAGAAAAAAAUAACAAAGAACAAAGGGCAGAAGAUGAAAAGAAUACUUCACAUGUGACAAUAAAACAAUCUUUGUAUACUAAACAAAUUUAGGUCGACUAUUUACUAGCAAGGAAAAUGGAAAAAGGCUCUUCCUGGCCAAGAAAAAAGUAGUUUUUCUUAUAGGAGAGGUGAAAUGUAUAUAAUGGGUAAGAUAUCCAGAGCCUGCCACAGGAAGCCAGUUGGAAAAGCCCAACAAAUAUCAGAGUGUCAUUUUUCAAUGGCCCCUUACAUACAAAACAUUUUUUAAUUAUAUAAAAAUUGAAGCUACUUGCAUAUUCAAAGCACACUUCAAUUUACCCAUGGGUCCAACAGACUUCAUAAUGGAAAGACAAAAAUGUUAUUAACUGAUUUAAGGAAAAAACAUAACCUAUUAAACUUAUGGGGACUUCCUAGGUGGCGCAGUUGUUGAGAAUCCAUCUGCCAUUGCAGGGGACAUGGGUUUGAUCCCUGCUCCAGGAGGAUCCCACGUGCCACGGAGCAACUAAGCCCAUGCACACAACUAUUGAGCCUGUGCCCUAGAGCCUGUGAGUCACAACUAUUGAGCCCAUGUGCCACAACUACUGAAGCCCACAUGCCUAGAGCCCAUGCUCCACAAACAAGAGAAGCCACCACAAUGAGGAGCCCACACGCCACAAUGAAGAGUAGCCCCUGCUCACUGCUACUAGAGAAAGCCCACGUACAACAACAAAGACCCAAAGCAGCCAAUAAGUAGAUAAAUAAAUU